UUACCUACCCUUGACAUGUACGGAAUUCCGCUGAGAGGUGGAAGUGCCCGAAAGGGAGCCGUAACACAGGUGCUGCAUGGCUGUCGUCAGCUCGUGUCGUGAGAUGUUGGGUUAAGUCCCGCAACGAGCGCAACCCUUGUCCCUAGUUGCUACGCAAGAGCACUCCAGGGAGACUGCCGGUGACAAACCGGAGGAAGGUGGGGAUGACGUCAAGUCCUCAUGGCCCUUAUGGGUAGGGCUUCACACGUCAUACAAUGGUCGGAACAGAGGGUUGCCAAGCCGCGAGGUGGAGCCAAUCCCAGAAAACCGAUCGUAGUCCGGAUCGCAGUCUGCAACUCGACUGCGUGAAGCUGGAAUCGCUAGUAAUCGCGGAUCAGCAUGC
rnacentral:rRNA from 1 species